rnacentral:rRNA from 1 species
GAUGUUAAAAUGGCGAAAUCCAACCAAGCUCGGGUAAACGGCGGGAGUAACUAUGACUCUCUUAAGGUAGCCAAAUGCCUCGUCAUCACAAACGGUAAAGGAAACGAGAAAACGCCGGGUCCGUCGCGAGACGGGCUCGGCUCGGUCGAGAAAAUCGAAAGUCGCGCACCAUCGGGUGCCUAACGGGAAAAUCAGGUCGAGUCGAACCGAGGUUCGAUCGCCCGCCAUCCCCGGGAGACCCGUCGGAGGAGGACUCAGGUCCGAUCCCGACGGAAGGCUCGGGAUAGUGGUCGGGCAGGAGAGCCUUGGGCUAGACCCGGCAAACCCUCGGGAUAGUAGUCGGAAGAGAGCCUCGGCUCGAUCCCGACCAACUCCCGGGUCAGUAGCCGGCGAUAGAUUCUCGGAGCGAGCCACGCCAACCCCCGGGGGUGAAGGUCGGAGGAGGACUCAGGUCCGAUCCCGGCUGAACCCUCGGGUCAGUAGCGAGGUGAGUGCGAGCCACGCCAACCCUCGGGAAGAAAGUCGGAGGAGGACCCAGGUCCGAUACCGACCGACGCUCGGGUCAGUAACGAGGCGAGUACGAGCCGAGCCAACCCUCGGGAAGAAAGUCGGAGGAAGACCUAGGUCUGAUACCGACCGACGCUCGGGUCAGUAGCGAGGUGAGCACGCGAGCCACGCCAACCCUCGGGAAGAAAGUCGGAGGAGGACCCCGGUCCAAUCCCGACCGACGCUCGGGUCAGUAACGAGGCGAGUACGAGUCGAGCCAACCCUCGGGAAGAAAGUCGGAGGAAGACCUAGGUCCGAUACCGACUGACGCUCGGGUCAGUAGCGAGGCGAGUACGAGCCGAGCCAACCCUCGGGAAGAAAGUCGGAGGAAGACCUAGGUCUGAUACCGACCGACGCUCGGGUUAGUAGCGAGGUGAGCACGCGAGCCACGUCAACCCCGGGAAGAAUGUCGGAGGAGGACCCAGGUCUGAUCCCGGCUGACGCUCGGUUAGUAGCGAGGCGAGCACCCGAGAGGUCGAUCUCGACCCUACGCCCCGACGGGUGUACCGAGUGAAGCCAGCCAAACGGGCGCUGUAUCCCUCCGGGGAGGCCCGCCUUACUAGGCCAACGCCAAAUUGUUCCGAGGCCGGCCUUCUCCCACCCGGGAGAGGUCCGGAAGACGAGCAGCCAACCCGCGAGGGAGGUCCAGAGACUAUACGGCGUUUAAGGGAGAGGGGAGAACGGCCCGGAACGACCAGAAAUGGCCGGAACGAGCCCGCCUCGCCCUCCCGAGGUGAAGUAGUCCGUCGCCAGGGGAUGAGAGGGGCCGGAACGAGUGGCUUGCCGGGGCGUUCGCGUCCGGGCAUCGGCCAGAGGUUCCAGGCCCGCCAUCUCCCCGCCGAACAGACGUUAAUUUGUGACGCGCAUGAAUGGAUUAAUGAGAUUCCCACUGUCCCUACCUACUAUCUAGCGAAACCACAGCCAAGGGAACGGGCUUGGCACAAUUAGCGGGGAAAGAAGACCCUAAACUCAAUGGGGCCAACAGGGGGCCUUGUCCCGACUCCGGUCGGGCUCGGUGCUACCUCCUAGUCGUCUGGCUUAACCGUCCGGAUCCGCUAAUAGCAAGGGUCCGGCGGUGGUACAAGCGGUCAGCGGCGAGACAACCUGGUACGAGGGAAACUUAGGGCAGGGGGAGGGAUCCCUCAUCCCCUGGGUAAUCUCGUGGCGAGUCGCCCUAGCGGGUGGCCGUCGUAACGCGCGGUAAGGUGUCGGUCGGGGGGAGGAGGUUCUCUCUCCCCCCCGGCUUAAGGAACGUGCUAAGCCCACACGAGGCUCGAGCCGAGUGUGCCGCCUGGAUGAGGACUUGUACUCCGAAGCCAGGACCCGUCUCUCCCUCUCUCGGGUGGGGGAACGGGCUAGGGGACCGUGUCGCGACUAUCUGGUCGAACCGAACGUCGUUCGGGAAGACCCUUCGCGACUCGACCCGGUCAGUAAAUGGACCGGGUGAGGUCGGUACGGGUUCCGGAGGUUACCACGAGGGUUCUGUAGUCCCGGAGGGGGCGCCGGAAGGCGCGCCCGACGCGGCGAAGGACCCGAGGCGGGAUCUCUUGGGGCCUUCUGGUUGAGCUUGACUCUAGGCACAGAAGCGAGGUGAUUCUAAAGGUGUAGCAUAGGUGGGAGGGCCUGGCCCGACCUUGAAAUACCACCACUUGAGACAUUGCUUUGCUAAUGCUGUAACGAACGAACGGCCCCCGGUUCCCGUCUUCGGGCGGUGCCGGUAAGGUUAUAUUCUAGCGCUUUCCUAGUCGGUCACGACGGCUUGGCUCCUCUGGGAUAGUACUCUGAGACCGCGAGCCGGGCUUCCGGGUCUGGUGAGCGUUGCUCUUGGGGGAACCAGGGAUAGUUGGGCUGUCCUCUGGCCGGCGUCCUGGUACGUAAGCCGUGUAGCAGACCAUCUGUGUUGGGGAGUUUGGCUGGGGCGGAAAACUGCUACACGGCAACGGCAGUCUCCUAAGGUCCACUCAGAGACGACAGAAACGUCUCGUAGAGCAUAAAGGCAAAAGUGGGCUUAACUUACAUUCUCAGUAGUAAUGUGAAGCAAGAAAUUGAGGCUUAACGAUCCUUAGCGGCGGGUGCCAGCCCACGCUUGAGGUGAGAGAAAAGUUACCACAGGGAUUGAUCAAAGCGUAGCUGAAAUGGGGUUUCCCGGGCUUCUGCUGGACGGCGGAGGGUGGCUCCCACCGCCGGACGGCCGGAGGACCGAGAUUCCUAACGAGGCGGGCACGAAAACGUCGGAAGUCGCUCUCCGGCGCUAGUACGGGCCGUCUCUCGGCCCGGAGACACGGUAGCCGGCUCCUUUCGGGGGCGGGCGAAGGGUUUCCGGGCCAGGUUCCGAACGAUACGUCAGUCACGCUCGAGAGAAGCGCAGGUUUCUCGGGCGAGGCGACGCACCUGGUUGCUGGGAAGGCCUAUCACAAACGGCAUCGGUACCAAGCGUUCUUCGGUGACUCCGAAGCGUGGAGCGUCCGGUUCCCGACCCUCUUACGGGAGGCGAGGGGAGCGAGUCGCGGGUAAUAAUCCGGUGUCCGGGGUCCAUCAGCAGGCGACGAGGUCUACCCAAAGGGGCUGACAGGGGGAGAGAGACCGAGAAUCCUUCGGGAAUCGACGUCUCCGAGCCCGGCGAGCUCCAUGGCAAGGUGACUGAGCGUCUCAACGACUGGGAAGGUGCGGGCGGGGACGGGUCGAGACGGCAUUCCGCCGUUCUGGGCUCGUUCUCGCUUAAGGUACAGUCUACCCCCGCCCGUAAGGGCGUCCUUGGCUCCCAAACCGCGGAAAUCCCUAUCCGACGUUUCGCCUCGGCGGACGGACUACCGAGAUAGGGCAAAUCCACGGUAACNCACCACUGCAGGGUUGGCCGAAGGAAGGUUUCGAGUCCGGACGUACGACGCUCGGCUCCCGUUAGCGUAGGGCACUCCGAGGGUCCCGGGAUUUUUCACCCGGGGCUCGUUCGAGGAGAGCCCGAGAGGGAGUCGGGAGGACGCGUCCGGACCCGAGCCUGGUCCGGGGAACUGGCUUGUGGCCGCCAAGCGUUCAUAGCGACGUGGC